GGCAUAGGAUUUAGAAAUCGGAACAGAGCAAUACUGCCCAGUGGGGGCGCAAUGACACUUACUGGUGAUUGGACAGGAAUGAUGCAGGAUAGCUACGUUGUCAUGACCCGAUCGUACCGAGCAUGCCACAGGUCCUAGCACAGGUUUUAUGUUGCUCUGAGACAUGAUACCUUACUGUUCACUGCAUGAUUACCUUGUUCUGUACUCUCUAGGGGUGUACAGUAAUUAGGGUGGUACAACCAAGGCGAGUGUAUGCUGUGCUUAUAUGCUUGUAGCUGUGUGGUGUAUGGGUGACUAUUCUAUCCUCUUCAUGUGCAACGGAGGGAGUACCACCAUACGUACAAUGGACCAACCAACCACUCCAUCAUCCUGCUACUUGAACAGGAGGAGACUUCCACUGAGUUCGUUUCUUGUACAUGAUUCUGCAGCCACACUCUUGACAACGAAUCGGAUCCCUUGGUUUCACCUCAUUCUCACUGUGACACUCUGUGUUUGUGGAGUGGGCGGCAUGUGUGGUGUGGCUCCAAUUUCCCUUCCCUUUCAAUGAUGACUGAGUGUCCAUAGCUGGGUAUUGAAUAACAGUUGACCUUUUUUUAGCAACAUUUCUCGUUACUUUUCUCAUUUCCCCCCUCUACUUCAAAAUCCUGUAUGACACCCUUGGGCAUUGUGUGUGUGGGGGGGUGUGCAUAUCUCCACAGAUAUAAUUAUGUCAUGGGUUGCUUGGAUUGGUUGGGGGGGAGCAUUGGGGUUAGGUGUAGCUCCUCCUGAUGCGGCUAGCUGGUGUGCUAUAUAGGAUCCAUUUUCGAAAAGCUAAAGGUCUUCUGUGGGAUAAAAGGGGUGGGGCUGGUCUGGAUGUUACUGCGCAUGCGUAUAAGUACACUUGCCCUUUGGCGAGGGAAUGCUUCCAUGCUCAUUCACAGGUCACCAACUCUAUCACCUGUGCUUGAUGGGCAUACCUAAACUUACUAUAUGUUUGUUCUUCAUAUCUUUACCUUACUUAGAUUUCGAUUUAUAUCUGUCUACCCGUUUGUAUUUACCUUACCUACUCGUUUCGCCAUAAAAAAAAAAAAAAAAAAAAAAACUUGCGGCUGUCUGGGACAGAUUUCGCAAUACCCACAAUAACUCACAAUAGUACUCUUGCGGUCCUUAUCGGUGGGAACUGCCGGUCUCCAUGGCAUCUCCACGGAGACUCUGACGUCAAUCGCCUGGAAUAUUCCCAGAUCCAGUUCCAGAAGCUCAAUUCCUUUGAAGAAGCUCAGUGUCUUGCUGGAAGAGAAUCAUCGCGAGCCUUCCACGGUGUUGCAGAACCAUCGUGAACCUUCCAUUGUGUUGCAGAACCAUCGCGAGCCUUCCACGGUGUUGCAGAACCAUCGCGAGCCUUCCAUUGUGUUGCCUUCCUGCGGAGCAGCGCGUGCAUUCUUCAGCCAUGGACGGAUAGGAGCUGGAUCAUCCGAAGCAGUGCAGGCUGCAGGAGUUAUUUGUAAGUUGAAACCUUAACCGUACGUCUGCAUGUUCAUCUUGUCUUGUGUGUAGCUUGUUGCAUGUGGUGUGUGUGUGCAUGUGUAUGUUAUUGCAGCUAUUGAUGGGAUGUUUCCUCUCUGGCCUUGAGUGUAUCGGUGUUGCUUUGUUUGUCGAGUGGUGCGGAGUGCGGGAAGGUUUCUGUUCUGAUAUUCCUUGUGUCUAAGUGUGGUGGCCCCUUCUUGACUGUGAGGUGUGUAGGUCAUGCAGCUUAAUAAAUACAUACUUGCCAGCAAAGCACACGUUGAAUGCAUGUAUGCAUGGCUAAACUCGUGUUGGUGUUGCGCUUAUAAUUUGUUUUUCAUGUACGCGUGGCUAAGAGUCUAUUAUUCUGCAUGGCCUUGAACCCUUGGUGGGGGGGGGGGGGGGGGUGGUGUCCGUAGCACUGGAGUAAUCAAUCAGUAUGUGUGUGGAAGGUUCUUCAACAGUCGGGUCGCAGGACAGGAUCUUCUUGUUCUUGGAACCGUUGUCGAGCCAGUCUUCGGGGUGCAAUGAUGGAUUACUCAUGGCAUUCCAGUCUACGGAGGGAGCACUCUGUUGUUAGUACCUGCCUAAGGGGAAAGCAGCACAGGGUAUGUUCCCCCGGGAGCAUAUCCUGCCAUAAUAGGGAGUGUUGAGAUCUCGUUAUCAGUUCCAAUAGUUAGUUAGCUAGACAUUAGCUAGUUAGUCGACUGCUGGUUCCUAGCUAUGCUAAUGUGAUGGCUUGAAUAUACUUUUAUGAUGCCUUUUUUUAGUCGGGUGGAUGGAAUUGGUAAGUUCAGGCUUUAACUAAACCCUAGGUGUGCCAAGGGAACUGUAGCCUUUGACUGGCUUGGUGGAAGAGUAGUCUUGAGCACUUGUGCAAGCCUUGCAUGCCAGGCUUGUUGCAACUGGAGUCGACAAGGGCUUCGAGAGCAAGGAGGUGUUGUCUCUGUGAGUCUACUGUUGUUGAACCAUCCCACACAUUCUGGUUGAUUACUUCUGUGCUCAGUUAAUGGUACUCACAGUCACAGGGUCCCUUUAGUUUAUUAUGCCCUUAUUGUAUUAGUCCCUUGGGCAAGGAAACUACUGGACUACUGGUGGUGGUCCUCUUUUGGUUGAUUUGAUUGGUUUUGGUUGGUUUAUUAUGGGAAGUUCUGUCUUCUCUGCACAGUUGGUGCAUGUGGAUGAUAAUUAUUUUUGUGGCUGAAUUGGUGGUCUUGUUGUGUAGUCUUGCUGUUGAAUUGAUUGGUGGUUGUUCUAAUCUCUUCUCUGCAUACAAACAGCUAGUUUGUUGUUGUCUGGUGUUAUAAUUAUGUAUUGUGUGUGUAUUGAUAAUACUAGGCUGAUGGUUGUCAGCUGUGGUGGUGAUUGGCUGGUUAUUGUAUUGUGUGGAGUGGAUGGUUUUGUUUGAACUGCUGCUCUCAAUGUAACCAUGCAUUUGCUUGUUCUCUUGCAGCCACAAUGCACACACACACACACACCUCCUCCUACUAGCUACUGUACUAGUGUUCCAUUCUCUCACUGCUUUCGUCUCCUCUCUCCCCCGGCCCAGGUACAGACUAGCCAUGCUGAACCCAGGGAGGGGAUCACCAAUGUAAUUAUAUUGAAGGGGGCGGGGUUUGAUUGUACGCCCCCACAUCUCUCUUCAGAGGGAGGGGCUCAGAUCUCACUGCCCACUAGCCUGUAUUACUGGUCUAUAGAGAGGUGGAUUGUCUCUGUAUAUGUAUGCAGUCAUGGAUACAUUAAAGAUGAGUAUGGCUGGCUACAUGUGAAGUGUCUUAUACAUUCUAUGAUGUGUAGGUUGAUGUCUGCACAGCAAAAGCUAAGCCACUAUAACAGCAUGCACACAGAUGAGUAGCUAGCUAUGUUGUGUGGCAAGUCUUUCAUGCUCUCUGUGUAGGUUGAUUGUGUGUGGAGGAGCCACUGUAACAGCAUGCACACACAGGAGUAGCUAUAACUAUGUUGUGUGGCAAGUCUUUCAUGCUCCCCAAUGUAGGUUGAUUGUGUGUGGAGGAGCCACUGUAACAGCAUACACACAGAUGAGUAGCUAUAACUAUGUUGUGUGGCAAGUCUUUCAUGCUCCCCAAUGUAGGUUGAUUGUGUGUGGAGGAGCCACUGUAACAGCAUACACAAUGCACACCUGAGUAGCUAGCUAUGUUGUAUGGCAAGUCUUUAUGCAUGAUCCCUCCAUGCAGGUUGAUUGCUUGGGAUGGACAGCAGUAACCAACACUACAUGCAAGCAGCUCGACUCUUAUUCUGAUGGCUGCUGCAAACAAUUAAUGAUUGUCGUAUAGUUGUUCAUGUUCAUGUUUUGUAUUUUUAUGACGACGUUAUCAUUUUUUUAUAAUAGUAAUAAUAAAUAAUUAAGAGUUGACAAUGAAUUAAUUAUUGAUACAA